rnacentral:rRNA from 1 species
GUACACAAAAAUGCACAUACUGUGAGCUCGAUGAGUAGGGCGGGACACGUGGUAUCCUGUCUGAAUAUGGGGGGACCAUCCUCCAAGGCUAAAUACUCCUGACUGACCGAUAGUGAACCAGUACCGUGAGGGAAAGGCGAAAAGAACCCCGGCGAGGGGAGUGAAAAAGAACCUGAAACCGUGUACGUACAAGCAGUGGGAGCCUCUUAAUGGGGUGACUGCGUACCUUUUGUAUAAUGGGUCAGCGACUUAUAUUCUGUAGCAAGGUUAACCGAAUAGGGGAGCCGAAGGGAAACCGAGUCUUAACUGGGCGUUAAGUUGCAGGGUAUAGACCCGAAACCCGGUGAUCUAGCCAUGGGCAGGUUGAAGGUUGGGUAACACUAACUGGAGGACCGAACCGACUAAUGUUGAAAAAUUAGCGGAUGACUUGUGGCUGGGGGUGAAAGGCCAAUCAAACCGGGAGAUAGCUGGUUCUCCCCGAAAGCUAUUUAGGUAGCGCCUCGUGAAUUCAUCUCCGGGGGUAGAGCACUGUUUCGGCAAGGGGGUCAUCCCGACUUACCAACCCGAUGCAAACUGCGAAUACCGGAGAAUGUUAUCACGGGAGACACACGGCGGGUGCUAACGUCCGUCGUGAAGAGGGAAACAACCCAGACCGCCAGCUAAGGUCCCAAAGUCAUGGUUAAGUGGGAAACGAUGUGGGAAGGCCCAGACAGCCAGGAUGUUGGCUUAGAAGCAGCCAUCAUUUAAAGAAAGCGUAAUAGCUCACUGGUC